UACGUAGGGGGCAAGCGUUGUCCGGAUUUACUGGGCGUAAAGCGUGCGCAGGCGGUUCGUUGUGUCUGAUGUGAAAGCCCCGGGCUCAACCUGGGAAUGGCAUUGGAAACUGGCGAGCUAGAGUGUGGCAGAGGGGGGUGGAAUUCCGCGUGUAGCAGUGAAAUGCGUAGAGAUGCGGAGGAACACCGAUGGCGAAGGCAGCCCCCUGGGCUGACACUGACGCUCAGGCACGAAAGCGUGGGGAGCAAACAGG
rnacentral:rRNA from 1 species